GAUGAACGCUGGCGGCGCGCCUAACACAUGCAAGUCGAACGGUUAAAGCACCUUUUAGGUGUGUAUAAAGUGGCGAACGGCUGAGUAACACGUGGGCAACCUGCCCUCCUCUUGGGGAUAGCCUCGGGAAACCGAGGAUAAUACCCGAUACUUCAAUGUGGCCGCAUGACGACAUUGAGAAAGCUUUUGCGGAGAAGGAUGGGCCCGCGGCCUGUUAGCUUGUUGGUGGGGUAGAGGCCUACCAAGGCAAUGAUGGGUAGCUGGGUUGAGAGACCGACCAGCCAGAUUGGGACUGAGACACGGCCCAGACUCCUACGGGAGGCAGCAGUGGGGAAUCUUGCACAAUGGGCGAAAGCCUGAUGCAGCGACGCCGCGUGCGGGAAGAAGGCCUUCGGGUUGUAAACCGCUUUCAGCAGGGACGAGGCGAAAGUGACGGUACCUGCAGAAGAAGCCCCGGCUAACUACGUGCCAGCAGCCGCGGUAAUACGUAGGGGGCAAGCGUUAUCCGGAUUCAUUGGGCGUAAAGCGCUCGUAGGCGGUCUGUUAGGUCGGGAGUUAAAUCCGGAGGCUCAACCUCCGCCCGCUCCCGAUACCGGCAGACUUGAGUUUGGUAGGGGAAGGUGGAAUUCCUAGUGUAGCGGUGGAAUGCGCAGAUAUUAGGAAGAACACCAGUGGCGAAGCGGCCUUCUGGGCCAUAACUGACGCUGAGGAGCGAAGCUAGGGGAGCAAACAGG
rnacentral:rRNA from 1 species